UACCAGUGCCGAACAUUUAUGGUGCCGUCCAAUAUGCCGUGCCGUGACGUUCUGAUUCCUCUUCCAUCCUCCUUCUCUCCCCCUCGAUCCUUAUUCCGCUGGUCGAUCCUCUGCUGUUCCUCUCAAUUUAGCCAGCUUUUGUUCUCCGAAUCAAAUUCAACCCACCCGCGGCCCCUCCUCUUUCUUUUCUCCCAAUCAGUUAUCCCCUUCUGUUCGAUUCCAUCCUCUGAUUCAGGCCGCCACCAGCUCCUCCAUUCCCUAAUCCGCCGGAUCUGCUCCUGUUCAAGUCUAUCAAGCGAUUGCAUCCCUCUCCAAGUGACCGACAGUCGUGCGGGUGCGGUUGUUGCUCUUUCCUCACGCUCGUGCUGGUGCCGCCCCGGCUGAUGCAUUGGUGAAAGGCAUCCUCAUCCCUCUCCAAGAUACAGGCUGCGACGCCAGCCGAGAGGGCAGCACCGCUGCUAUGAAAUUCGUCCGCGCAGAAACCGCAUUUGAUGCAGAUGAGUUCACCAAUUCUAUUACAGGCAAGUAGGAGGUUUGGGAGAUCCUCAAACCAAUGAGGAGACUUGCAUCUCCUGGCCCUGAUUGUUUUCUACACCUCAGCUUGGAGCUGGAUUGGAGAUGACGUGACCAACGUGGUAAGAAACUUCUACAUCACAGACUGCCUUGGCUGGAUAAAGACUUGGAGACUGGCUGUUGAAGAUGAAAGCACCUAGUUUUCCAGAUUGCAUAGGCACGUAAGAGCAUAAUCUCUAUAUAGAAAGGCCAUCCCGAACCUGGAAUUUUGGAUCAGUCUGCCACAAAAAGUUAAGAGUGUGUUCCUUCAACAAGCAAUCCAAGAAUUCGCAGCAGAGAUACCAGAGGGCCAUAUGCCCCUGUAAACCAUUGAGAAGUAGAAAAUCCGAAGAACAGUAUUCGUUGCCAUACAGUUAAAAGCAUAUGUGAACUGGGGUGAAAGCUAGCCAUUUGAUCUUAUGUCAAUAUGUCAGCUGCGUAGGUGGCGGCUGUUCCGCACUUGGCCGGUUCCGCAUGGUCGGCGCUUGGCAGGCCAGAUUUGGGCCCCUUUCGGGUGGCGUUUUCUUUUCCCACGAGCGCAGCGUUGUUCCCCUGGAGGUUUGACCGAGAAGGAUUAGAUCUUCUUCGCUCUGUUCUGCGAUCUUGGAGGUUGUCGUUGGUUCUUCUCUUUCUCGGCAGAUCUUUCCUGGUGGUGAUCUUCUUCGCUCUGUUCGGCAAUCUUGGAGUUGCUUGGCGGCGGUUCUUCUCUUUCUUGGCGGAUCUUCCCUGGUUGUGCCGUGUGAUGGUUUUUCCUGUCGUGGAUCCCGUCUGGACGAGGCGCCUCGCUGGUGGGUGUCGCCCCUCUUCGUGCGGUCGCCCGGCCGGCUGGGCUGCUUGAGGCUGGCAUGAUCUCCUUAUCCAGUUGAGCUUAUUAUGGAAAGGGGCCGGCGAUUUGAGUCUGAUGAGAUUCAGGUCGUCACCGUGCCAGAGAUGGUUGGCAUGAAUCCGCAUGUUGCUUAGUAUGCAAUCUGUGUUUCUGAAUUUGGACGGUCUUCUGUCCAGCUGCUCCACGGACUGCAAUGCAGCUGCCUAAAACCUGAUCUGGGAACACGUAGCCGCUAUGCUGGUACCUGACGAGGAUGAUGUUGAUAGCUAGGCGGAGGCAGGUGGACCGUGCAUGUGACCGUCAUGUGAGUGCACGCUGUGCUGCUGGCUGCAGGCGAGCUGGGCUGGCUGGGCAAGCAGAACAAGACACCCUUCGGUAGUCCCAUGAAUAACUGGAUCAAUUAGGUCAGUAGACACGGCAGCACUUCUAGAAUCUCGAUUUUGUUGUCAGCGACCGUGAGGGAAACACAAUGGAAAUUUGUGUAACAGCCAAUCGCAUAUUUCAAUUCAGAGAACAAUUGAAGGAAGGCUCAGUCUAUACAUUUGAGAUGUUGUACGCACUGAAGAAGUACAGAGCCGCA